rnacentral:rRNA from 1 species
CAUGUCUUUUUGAUUUUAAUUUAAGGUUUGAUCUGCCCAAUGAUUAUUUAAAUGGCCGCGAUAUUUUGAUCGUGCGAAGGUAGCAUAAUCAUUAGUUUCUUAAUUGGGAGCUGGUAUGAAUGAUUGGACAAGAAAUAAGCUGUCUCAAUUUUAUAAUUUUAAUUUUAUUUUUUAGUUAUAAAGCUAAGAUUUUUUUGUAAGACGAGAAGACCCUAUAGAGUUUUAUAUUUUUUAUUUAAGAUUGUUUUGGAAUUUAAAUUGUCUUAAUUUUUUAAAAUAUUUAGUUGGGGUGACAGAAAAAUUUAUUUAACUUUUUUUUUAUUAAAUAUUGAUUUAUAGAUUUUUGAGUUAAUAUUUUUAUUAUAAGAUUAAAUUACCUUAGGGAUAACAGCGUAAUUUUCUUUUAAAGUUCUUAUUGAAAAGAAAGAUUGCGACCUCGAUGUUGGAUUAAAGUAAAAAUUUGGUGUAGAAGCUAAAUUGAUUUAGUCUGUUCGACUAUUAAAACUUUACAUGAUCUGAGU